rfam:Candidatus Staskawiczbacteria bacterium RIFCSPHIGHO2_01_FTLL_34_27 rifcsphigho2_01_scaffold_53439, whole genome shotgun sequence.
GCGCCCGUAGCUCAGUUGGUAGAGCUCCCGACUCUUAAUCGGAUGGUCACAGGUUCGAUCCCUGUCGGGCGCA